rnacentral:ncRNA from 2 species
CCGACACAAGAGGGGUGCCUUCGGGAAAAACGGACGCCGCACGGGAUUCACACCGCCGGCGGGCAGGUUCCACGCAAAGGCUGAGAUCACACCCUAUGAACUUGAUGCGGGCAACACCGACGAAAGGACUUGUUCAUAGACCGUA